AAGUCUUGUCAGAAGUGGGAUUCGAACCCACGCCUCCAUUCGGAGACCAGAAUACUCCUUUGACAGGAAGGUUAUUACCCUUGAGUCUGGCGCCUUAGACCACUCGGCCAUCCUGACAUGUUGAUAGCUACUCGGACAUGAUCCCAUGGGAUCGUGAGGACCAAUCGCUAGUCAAACCACAGAGCGUACGACUCAGAAUCAAAUCCUUCACGACCUCAACCUCUCCCGGUCAAAAGAAGGGGGCUUUGACGCUUCCUUAAUUGUUGGCCUGCCAGGUCAUGAAUAUUCCCAGAAAGAGACCACCUUUGGAAUGUUGUUGCAGGACAGGGCAGGAGAGAGCGUGAAGUGCUGCUUUUGUGCUCUAAUUAACCAUCUGUAUCCAAGUAGCUUCCUGGGAUGUUACACAAACCACCACAGAGCAUCAAAAAGCUCUUCAACCGAAUAUUUGGAUAAAUACUUUUCUCAGGCGCAGAACUGCAAUGCCCUACCUUAGAUUUAAACUUACAACCUGAGUUAAAAACCCAGUUUCCAAACCACUAUAUGUACACUAACUUAAUUAUCCACUAUUUUGCACUAGUAUUAUUCUUUCCCAUCAUUUUUUGUGUGCACUACGAAGAUAUAAGAUAUACUUUCUAUUAAAUUGAUCUUAAAUAAUCGUGAUGCUACUUUAAAAAAUACACACUGUGACUGAAAGAACACUUUAUUUGCCUUCUUUAUACAAAGUAGUUACUGAGUUAGCCACCAACAUGAAAUUGCCUCCAUGAAUCUGUUGUCCUGAUCUAAAAUACAAAAAUCUGCUGAAGAAAGUUCCAAAUUGUGCCUGACCAACCAGUUAUGUUGAACAGUGAAAUUAGUGCAGAUAAACACACAGUUCUGGGAAAACCUCUGUGAUUCAAGAAACCUCUCAUGGGCACAAUUACUUUUUAUUUAAGAUCCCUGGGAAACAUACAUAAUAUAAAAAAUAAACCAAUUCUAUAAGAAUGAUCAAAUGUCACUUGGCUCCAAAAUAACAAAAAACUGGAUUUAAGGCAACUAAAAAUUAAAACCACAUAUGGUCUUGUUUGUCCCAUAGUUCUGUAAAUAUGUACACAACAGAAUUUCUGUCUCUUCCCACCAAAUGCUAACUGUAGAACACUAAUCAUCUCAAGCACACUAGCAGCACAAAUUCACUUUAAUAAAACU